UGAAUACGAGGCACUAAGGUGCUGAAGUAGUGUAUGUCAUACUUCCAAGAAAAGCUUGCACUAUCGUAAGAUAAAAAUGCCUGUACCAUAACCGACACAGGUGGGUAGGUAGAGUAUACUAAGGGGCGCGAGAUAACUCUCUCUAAGGAACUCGGCAAAAUAACUCCGUAACUUCGGGAGAAGGAGUGCCUUAUUCUAUAAGGUUGCAAUAACAAGAUCCAAGCAACUGUUUAUCAAAAACACAGGUCUCCGCUAAGUCGUAAGACGAUGUAUGGGGGCUGACGCCUGCCCAGUGCCAGAAGGUUAAAGAAGUCGGUUAGCAAUUGCGAAGCUGGUAACUGAAGCCCUGGUGAACGGCGGCCGUAACUAUAACGGUCCUAAGGUAGCGAAAUUCCUUGUCGGGUAAGUUCCGACCCGCACGGAAGGCGUAAUGAUUUGGAUACUGUCUCGGAGAGGGACUCGGUGAAAUAGACUUGUCUGUGAAGAUGCGGACUACCUGCACCAGGACAGAAAGACCCUAUGAAGCUUUACUGUAACUUGAAAUUGAAAUUGGACUUUAUUCGCGCAGUAUAGGUGGGAGGCGUUGAUUAUAAUCUUGUGGGAUUAUUGGAGCCAUUAGUGAGAUACCACUCUUGUAAUGUUAGAUUUCUAACUUUGAAUCAUGAUCUGGUCAAAGAACAGUUUCAGGCGGGCAGUUUGACUGGGGCGGUCGCCUCCUAAAUGGUAACGGAGGCGUACAAAGGUUUCCUCUGAACGGGUAGAAAUCGUAUCUAGAGUGUAAAGGCAUAAGGAAGCUUGACUGUGAGACCUACAAGUCGAGCAGGGACGAAAGUCGGUCUAUUGAUCUGACGGUACUGAGUGGAAAGGCCGUCACUCAACGGAUAAAAGUUACUCUAGGAUAACAGGCUGAUCUCCCCCAAGAGUUCACAUCGACGGGGAGGUUUGGCACCUCGAUGUCGGCUCAUCGCAUCCUGGGGCGGUAGUACGUCCCAAGGGUUGGGCUGUUCGCCCAUGAAAGCGGUACGCGAGCUGGGUUCAGAACGUCGUGAGACAGUUCGGUCCAUAUCCGGUGUAGGCGUUAGAAUAUUGAGAGGAGCCUUCUUUAGUACGAGAGGACCGAGAAGGACAUACCUCUGGUGUACCAGUUAUCGUGCCAACGGUAAACGCUGGGUAGCUAUGUAUGGAGUGGAUAACCGCUGAAAGCAUCUAAGUGGGAAGCCCACCUCAAGAUAAGUAUUCUC
rnacentral:rRNA from 1 species